rnacentral:piRNA from 1 species
UGAAGCAGUACUAUGGUUCAGUGAG